UACAGAGGUCCCAAGCGUUGUUCGGAUUCACUGGGCGUAAAGGGUGCGUAGGCGGUCGGGUAAGUCUGACGUGAAAUCUUCAAGCUCAACUUGGAAGCUGCGUCGGAUACUAUUCGGCUAGAGGAAUGGAGGGGAGACUGGAAUACUUGGUGUAGCAGUGAAAUGCGUAGAUAUCAAGUGGAACACCAGUGGCGAAGGCGAGUCUCUGGACAUUUCCUGACGCUGAGGCACGAAAGCCAGGGGAGCAAACGGG
rnacentral:rRNA from 1 species